GAUGAACGCUGGCGGCGUGCCUAAUACAUGCAAGUCGAGCGAACAGACGAGGAGCUUGCUCCUCUGACGUUAGCGGCGGACGGGUGAGUAACACGUGGAUAACCUACCUAUAAGACUGGGAUAACUUCGGGAAACCGGAGCUAAUACCGGAUAAUAUAUUGAACCGCAUGGUUCAAUAGUGAAAGACGGUUUUGCUGUCACUUAUAGAUGGAUCCGCGCCGCAUUAGCUAGUAGGUAAGGUAACGGCUUACCAAGGCAACGAUGCGUAGCCGACCUGAGAGGGUGAUCGGCCACACUGGAACUGAGACACGGUCCAGACUCCUACGGGAGGCAGCAGUAGGGAAUCUUCCGCAAUGGGCGAAAGCUUGACGGAGCAACGCCGCGUGAGUGAUGAAGGUCUUCGGAUCGUAAAACUCUGUUAUUAGGGAAGAACAAAUGUGUAAGUAACUAUGCACGUCUUGACGGUACCUAAUCAGAAAGCCACGGCUAACUACGUG
rnacentral:rRNA from 1 species